rnacentral:rRNA from 1 species
UACGUAGGGUGCGAGCGUUAAUCGGAAUUACUGGGCGUAAAGUGUGCGCAGGCGGCGCCGCAAGUCGAGUGUGAAAGCCCCGGGCUUAACUUGGGAAUUGCGCUCGAAACUAUGGUGCUGGAGUGUGGCAGAGGAAGGUGGAAUUCCACGUGUAGCGGUGAAAUGCGUAGAGAUGUGGAGGAACACCGAUGGCGAAGGCAGCCUUCUGGGCCAACACUGACGCUCAUGCACGAAAGCGUGGGGAGCAAACAGG